rnacentral:rRNA from 1 species
CAGCCGCCGCGGUAAUACGUAGGUGGCAAGCGUUGUCCGGAAUUAUUGGGCGUAAAGGGCUCGCAGGCGGUUUCUUAAGUCUGAUGUGAAAGCCCCCGGCUCAACCGGGGAGGGUCAUUGGAAACUGGGAAACUUGAGUGCAGAAGAGGAGAGUGGAAUUCCACGUGUAGCGGUGAAAUGCGUUGAGAUGUGGAGGAACACCAGUGGCGAAGGCGACUCUCUGGUCUGUAACUGACGCUGAGGAGCGAAAGCGUGGGGAGCGAACAGGAUUAGAUACCCCGGUAGUCCCUGUCUCUUAUAU